CUGGAAGCAGCCUUGCAGCCUAGGAAGGGCCGGGGGCUUCCAAUGGCCAAGCUCCCUCUGGCCAGCCCCUUCCACCCUGUGCCUUGCGGCCUGUGUGCAAACUCGGGCACCGGGUGAUGUUUCUAAAAGCAACAUCAGAGCCUCUCCGAUCUAUUUCCUAAACACAUUCAAAAUCGUACAAAGAGGGACCCAGGGACGGAGAAGCUCCUCUUGCAGGCAAUUAUCUUAGAGCUAAAUCAGCCAAGCAAGCAAAGACCCAACAUCAAGGACAGCCACUGCUGUGAUGUUUACGGGAGGAAACCUCAAAACAGUUCGUCAGCCUUCAGCAGAACGGGGUGCACUGAUCUGCACUUCGUGCAGGGGAUCUCAGCAGGGGGCUGGCAGGAGUCGGGGCGCGGAGGAGGCCGGCGGCCUGAGGUCCAGGCCAAACCCUGUGCACAAGUGAGCAUCGUCUCCGUGAAGCCUGGCGCCGUGGUCAGAGGCGGGAGCUGUUCCGGGAGCGUUCCCUGCUGCACCCAAGGUCACACCCAGCCCGACUGGAAACUGGGUUCUUAGCGGUGACUCGGUAUAACCAAGAAAGUGACCCAAGGCUCAGCAUCUGUGGACGUGGCCGAUGUCACAGAACUCAGAAGUGGGAAAUAGCUGGUUAUAACACAUGGGAAGUCUUUCAGCAAGCAUCUAUGAACAGCCUGCUGCAUGCACAGCACUCGGUGCCCUUGAAUCCUGAAGUUGUUCGAAGACCAGGCUGAAAGAUGGUUUCCAAAAUUCUGGGCCCAUCAUGAACCCACGGCUGGGAAGGACCUUGAGGGCACUCCAGUCAAACCCCUCCCCCAUCCUCCCCACCAACCCGCCAUCCCCUAUGAUGCUCAGAUUCUCUGCACCGUACUUCCAGGAGGGCCAACGCCGGCUCUCCAAGCAUCUCUGGAGACAGCUGCUGACCUCAUCCCGAGGCAGCCUGGGCCACUUUGGGUACCUGGAGUGCUCAGUGGCACGUCCCACAGGGGGAUCGAUCUCCAGGCAUCAGGUGGUCAGUGGGUGCCCUGACCAGAGUGCAAUCUACACAAGGGCAAGCUGCACCUCUGGGGCUGGCAUCAGGGGCUUUCUGGGCCCCCGGCAGGAAUCAGGGAAGGAAUUUGGCCUUGAAGACACUCCCAGAGUCCAGAGCUGGGGCAGCCAUCACCCCCUCGCCUGCCCCUGGACCCUAAACAGCCCCUGGGAGGGCAUCACCUCCCCCGUGGGACAUCAGUCCUGUGCAUCCCUCCAGACGUCAAAGCAACAGGACAGAGCUCAAUCCCUUCUCCGAGCGCCUCCCUGCGUCUUCCAGAGCCCACCUUGGAGGGUCUCCUUUCAAAAUGUGUCCUCUUCCGCCUGCAUCCCACGCAUUCCACGCCCCCCACUUCCGUGCUGUUAAGGAGACUUUAUGCUGCCUCCGAUGUAGCAUCUUUGUCAGUUUUCAAUGUGAAAAAUAAAUAAUUACAGGGGUGUUGA